AGAGUUUGAUCCUGGCUCAGGAUGAACGCUGGCGGUAUGCUUAACACAUGCAAGUCGAACGGAAGUCUUCGGACUUUAGUGGCGGACGGGUGAGUAACGCGUGAGAAUCUACCUUCAGGAUGGGGACAACAUUAGGAAACUGAUGCUAAUACCCAAUAUGCCGAGAGGUGAAAGGCUUGCUGCCUGAAGAAGAGCUCGCGUCUGAUUAGUUAGUUGGUGGGGUAAUGGCCUACCAAGGCGGCGAUCAGUAGCUGGUCUGAGAGGAUGAUCAGCCACACUGGGACUGAGACACGGCCCAGACUCCUACGGGAGGCAGCAGUGGGGAAUUUUCCGCAAUGGGCGAAAGCCUGACGGAGCAAUACCGCGUGAGGGAGGAAGGCUUUUGGGUUGUAAACCUCUUUUAUUCGGGAAGAAGAACUGACGGUACCGAAUGAAUCAGCAUCGGCUAACUCCGUGCAGCAGCCGCGGUAUAC
rnacentral:rRNA from 1 species